UGGGGUAUAGCUCAAUGGCAGAGCAUGUGUUUGGUGUUCAUGAGGUCCUGGGUUCAAUCUCCAGUGCCUCCA
rfam:Camelus ferus unplaced genomic scaffold scaffold885, whole genome shotgun sequence.